rnacentral:rRNA from 1 species
GUCUCGGCUAACUACGUGCCAGCAGCCGCGGUAAAACGUAGGAGGCAAGCGUUAUCCGGAUUCACUGGGCGUAAAGCGCGUGCAGGCGGUGCGGUAAGUUGGGCGUGAAAUCUCCCGGCUCAACUGGGAGAGGUCGUCCAAUACUACCGUACUUGAGAGCAGAAGAGGAAAAUGGAAUUCCCGGUGUAGUGGUGAAAUGCGUAGAUAUCGGGAGGAACACCAGUGGCGAAGGCGAUUUUCUGGUCUGUUUCUGACGCUCAGACGCGACAGCUAGGGUAGUAAACGGGAUUAGAGACCCCGGUAAUCCUAGCCGUAAACGAUGUGAACUUGGCGUUGGUGGGUUAAACUCCAUCAGUGCCGUAGCAAACGCGAUAAGUUCACCGCCUGGGGACUACGGCCGCA